GACGAACGCUGGCGGCGUGCUUAACACAUGCAAGUCGAACGAAGAGCGAUGGAAGCUUGCUUCUAUCAAUCUUAGUGGCGAACGGGUGAGUAACGCGUAAUCAACCUGCCCUUCAGAGGGGGACAACAGUUGGAAACGACUGCUAAUACCGCAUACGAUCUAAACUCGGCAUCGAGGAUAGAUGAAAGGUGGCCUCUACAUGUAAGCUAUCACUGAAGGAGGGGAUUGCGUCUGAUUAGCUAGUUGGAGGGGUAACGGCCCACCAAGGCGAUGAUCAGUAGCCGGUCUGAGAGGAUGAACGGCCACAUUGGGAUGAGACACGGCCCAGACUCCUACGGGAGGCAGCAGUGGGGAAUCUUCCGCAAUGGACGAAAGUCUGACGGAGCAACGCCGCGUGAGUGAUGACGGCCUUCGGGUUGUAAAGCUCUGUUAAUU
rnacentral:rRNA from 1 species